AACGAACCGUGCAAACGUUGUUCGGAAUCACUGGGCUUAAAGGGCGCGUAGGCGGGCCGGCCAGUCAGGGGUGAAAGCCCACGGCUCAACCGUGGAAGUGCCUUUGAUACUGCCGGUCUUGAGGGAGGUAGGGGCGUGCGGAACUUCCGGUGGAGCGGUGAAAUGCGUAGAUAUCGGAAGGAACACCGGUGGCGAAAGCGGCGCGCUGGACCUCUACUGACGCUCAUGCACGAAAGCGUGGGGAGCAAACAGG
rnacentral:rRNA from 1 species